AUUGAACGCUGGCGGCAUGCUUUACACAUGCAAGUCGAACGGUAACAGGGUGCUUGCACCGCUGACGAGUGGCGAACGGGUGAGUAAUGCGUCGGAACGUGCCGAGUAGUGGGGGAUAACGCAGCGAAAGUUGUGCUAAUACCGCAUACGUACUGAGGUAGAAAGUGGGGGACCUUCGGGCCUCACGCUAUUCGAGCGGCCGACGUCUGAUUAGCUAGUAGGUGAGGUAAAGGCUCACCUAGGCGACGAUCAGUAGCGGGUCUGAGAGGAUGAUCGGCCACAGUGGGACUGCGGCACGGCCCAGACUCCUACGGGAGGCAGAAGUGGGGAAUUUUGGACAAUGGGCGAAAGCCUGAUCCAGCCAUGCCGCGUGUCUGAAGAAGGCCUUCGUGUUGUAAAGGACUUUUGUCGGGGAGGAAAUCCCCAGCGUUAAUACCGCUGGGGGAUGACAGUACCUGAAGAAUAAGCACCGGCUAACUACGUGCCAGCCGCCGCUGUAAUAC
rnacentral:rRNA from 1 species